AACGAACGCUGGCGGCAUGCCUAACACAUGCAAGUCGAACGAGAUCUUCGGGUCUAGUGGCGCACGGGUGCGUAACGCGUGGGAAUCUGCCCUUUGGUUCGGAAUAACAGUUGGAAACGACUGCUAAUACCGGAUGAUGACGAAAGUCCAAAGAUUUAUCGCCAGAGGAUGAGCCCGCGUAGGAUUAGCUAGUUGGUGUGGUAAAGGCGCACCAAGGCGACGAUCCUUAGCUGGUCUGAGAGGAUGAUCAGCCACGCUGGGACUGAGACACGGCCCAGACGCCUACUGGAGGCAGCAGUGGGGAAUAUUGGACAAUGGGCGAAAGCCUGAUCCAGCAAUGCCGCGUGAGUGAUGAAGGCCUUAGGGUUGUAAAGCUCUUUUACCCGGGAUGAUAAUGACAGUACCGGGAGAAUAAGCUCCGGCUAACUCCGUGCCAGCCGCCGCGGUAA
rnacentral:rRNA from 1 species